AAACCCUCAAGCUCGGCUUGGUGUUGGGCGUCUGUCCCGCCUCUGGCGUGGACUCGCCUCAAAGACAUUGGCGGUUGGUGCCUCGGCUGGAAGCGCAGCACAAACGCGCUUGUCCCGCCCUUGCGCCUCCCCCCAGGAAGCCAUACUCACA
rnacentral:misc_RNA from 1 species